rnacentral:rRNA from 1 species
UACGGAGGGGGCUAGCGUUGUUCGGAAUUACUGGGCGUAAAGCGUGCGUAGACGGUUAUUUAAGUCGGGUGUGAAAGCCCCGGGCUCGACCUGGGAAUUGCAUUCGAGACUGAAUAGCUAGGGUACGGUAGAGGGAAGUGGAAUUUCCGGUGUAGAGGUGAAAUUCGUAGAUAUUCGGAAGAACACCAGUGGCGAAGGCGACUUACUGGACACAUAUUGACGCUGGAGGUGACGAAAGCGUGGGGAGCAAACAGG